AAGUCGUAACAAGGUUUCCGUAGGUGAACCUGCGGAAGGAUCAUUAUUGAAUAAACUUGAUCAGGUUGUUGCUGGCUCUACUGAGCAUGUGCACACUUGUCAUCUUUACUUUUCCCCACUGUGCACAUAUUGUAGGCCUGGAAUUCUUCUGAUUAUUUGUAUAGAUUGAGGACUGCUGUGCUUCAGCCAGCUUUUCCUUGGCUUUCCAGGUCUAUGUUUACCCUUACAACCUCUGAAUAUGUUUAGAAUGUUGGAAUAUAAUAUAAUAUACAACUUUCAGCAACGGAUCUCUUGGCUCUCGCAUCGAUGAAGAACGCAGCGAAAUGCGAUAAGUAAUGUGAAUUGCAGAAUUCAGUGAAUCAUCGAAUCUUUGAACGCAUCUUGCGCUCCUUGGUAUUCCGAGGAGCAUGCCUGUUUGAGUGUCAUCAAUCUCUCAACUACAUCAAUCUUUCUGGUUUGGUGUGGCUUUUGGAUGUGGGGGUCUUCUUUUGCUGGCUUCUAUUAAAUGAGGUCGGCUCCCCUGAAAUUUAUUAGUGGUAUCUGAGCAGAGAGACCUACUACAGGUGUGAUAAAUUAUCUACACCUUGGUAAUGCUGCAUGAACAGAUUGUGCUGCUUCCAGCGAAUUAUUUGACAAAUUUGACCUCAAAUCAGGUAGGACUACCCGCUGAACUUAAGCAUAUCAAUAAGCGGAGGAAAAGAAACUAACAAGGAUUCCCCUAGUAACUGCGAGUGAAGCGGGAAAAGCUCAAAUUUGAAAUCUGNCAGUUCUUUUGACUGUCCGAGUUGUAAUCUAGAGAAGUGUUACCUGUGCUGGACCGUGUACAAGUCUUCUGGAAUGGAGCAUCAUAGAGGGUGAGAAUCCCGUCUUUGACAUGGACUACCAGUGUGCUGUGGUGCGCUCUCAAAGAGUCGAGUUGUUUGGGAAUGCAGCUCAAAAUGGGUGGUAAAUGCCAUCUAAAGCUAAAUAUUGGCGAGAGACCGAUAGCGAACAAGUACCGUGAGGGAAAGAUGAAAAGAACUUUGGAAAGAGAGUUAAACAGUACGUGAAAUUGCUGAAAGGGAAACGCUUGAAGUCAGUCACGUUGGCUAGAAAUCAGCCUUGCUUUUGCUUGGUGUACUUUCUGGUUUGACGGGUCAGCAUCGAUUUCUUUGACCAUUGGAUAAAGUCUUUGGGAAUGUGGCAUCUUUUGAUGUGUUAUAGCCCAUUGUCGCAUAUAAUGGUUGGGAUCGAGGAACUCAGCACGCCGCAAGGCCGGGCAUAGACCACGCUCGUGCUUAGGAUGCUGGCAUAAUGGCUUUAAUCGACC
rnacentral:rRNA from 1 species